rnacentral:rRNA from 1 species
AGUGAACGCUGGCGGUAGGCCUAACACAUGCAAGUCGAACGGCAGCACAGUAAGAGCUUGCUCUUACGGGUGGCGAGUGGCGGACGGGUGAGGAAUACAUCGGAAUCUACUUUUUCGUGGGGGAUAACGUAGGGAAACUUACGCUAAUACCGCAUACGACCUACGGGUGAAAGCAGGGGAUCUUCGGACCUUGCGCGAUUGAAUGAGCCGAUGUCGGAUUAGCUAGUUGGCGGGGUAAAGGCCCACCAAGGCGACGAUCCGUAGCUGGUCUGAGAGGAGGAUCAGCCACACUGGAACUGCGACACGGUCCAGACUCCUACGGGAGGAAGCAGUGGGGAAUAUUGGACAAUGGGCGCAAGCCUGCUCCAGCCAUACCGCGUGGGUGAAGAAGGCCUUCGGGUUGUAAAGCCCUUUUGUUGGGAAAGAAAAGCAGCAGGUUAAUACCCCGCUGUUCUGACGGUACCCAAAGAAUAAGCACCGGCUAACUUCGUG